rnacentral:misc_RNA from 1 species
AUGAACUGAGCAUACCUUUUUAUCGUCUUUUUAUUGACUAAUUGGCUAUUGUCCAUGAAGAAUCAAUACCUUUUUAUGAGGGUAGGGUUGCUCACUAAUUGGCUAACCUGACCCAAAAAUCCAGCUUUAAUUGACAGUUUAUCGGAUCAGGCUGAUUUACAUGUUGUAAAUAUGCUUUUGUUGAUCAAUUUGGUUUUAUCUGAUUAUCCUCCAAAUUCAAAACCGCUCGGUGAAGCAUGUCCAUUUCUCACCCUUUUGCCAUAGACGAUGCAUCCAAACUCCUCCAUCAUCGUCAUCAAACUCCCAAGCUCCCAUAGCAGCCAAUAUCAUCUCUUCCUAUACGUCCUUUUCCUUUCUUUUUCUCCACUGUUUCUCUCUGCAUUGCUUCCUUUCUCAUUAUGGGUUUUUUCUCACUUCUCUACAACAAGGAUUUCUGGGUAUCUAUUCAAGGUAACGCAUCUGUUUUUGUUUCUUGUGUGGAUUUUUGUGGGUGACUG